GAAAAAGACAGGACUUUGCGCUGGGGACGUGAGUGAUGGAAGCCAUUGAAUAAUUGUCUGAAGAUGGGUGUACUGGUCUGGGCUUCCUUCUACUCAUAUGUCAUCCACGAACCUCAUGGCUCCACACAUAGGAUGCCUUGUUCCUUCUUCAUUCCUUCAAUUGGUACAAUAAUUGAUUAACAAUUCGGGUGAUUAUAACACACAUGCAUUUAAGUGAGAAUAGUUAAAAUCCAUACUUUUAUGUGCAAGAGUUUGGGGCCAUUACAUGCACAUUCAUGCUAAAGCAGAUACUGCUGAAGGGAUAUGGCGGGUAGAUGUGUAUCCACAGUCACUGAGGGAGUAGGAUCAGAGAUACAGAGGAUAUGAAUUAAACAAAAGCAGCCCUAUUGAUGACGGUUGUUGUGGGAUGAUAGGGGCAUGCAGAUCUGUGAACUAUUCUCUACAGUUUUGGUAAUUUCAAUAUUGUCAUAUUUCAUUCUCCACUCCUGUCAUGAUGGGUGUAUAUGCUGCUAUUAAGAGCCCCUCAAAUGUGCCCAGAUGUGUGUUUUCACUGAGAUCUCAAGUUUAAGGCCGUCUUCUUCCAGCAGACAGAGGAGGAGUUGGCUGGGAGGCUGAGAAGGGACAGGAAUCCAGGCUGUUGAAGUAACAGGAACUUGAGGGAAGCUGGAGGCCUGAGGACAAGGGGAGGGGCUUGAGCAGGUGCUUCCUCCAAGGGCUCUAAAAAGAAAGACAGCAGCCUCUGUCCUCCUCAGCCUGAGGUGUGAGGUGAACUCUAGCACCAGGAUUUAAGGAGGGGCUGAGCAGUCACUGGAUGGACACAAAUUUACAUGAACAUCCCCUUCUCUGGCAGAGGGUGGAGAAGAAAAGGGGGCCUGGGGCAGCCCAGCCCCACUGUGGGUCAGGGGCUGUGUGCACAUGGCCUGCACCCCUGUCCUCCUCGUAUUUCUCUCUCACUGCACAGGUUCCCUCUCCCAGCCUGUGCUGACUCAGGCCCCUCCCUCUCUGCAUCUCUGGGAGCAUCAGCCAGACUCACCUGCACCCUGAGCAGUGAUGUUAAUGUGCGCACCUAUACCAAAUUCUGGUUUCAGCAGAAGCCAGGGAGCCCACCCAGAUGUCUCCUGGGGUUUCAAUCAGACUCAGAUCUCAAGAUCAUCCCAGCAGAUAGGCCGUCCUCCACAGCACAGACUCUGGUCUCCUAGGGAUCAGAGCAGAGACCUUCUCAUCCCUCCCAGGAUCCUGAGCUCAGGGCUGGCUGAGGAGCCCAGUGUCCCAGGGAUGAAGCACUAAGAUGUGAGAUGCUGGAGUAUCCCUCAGAGUUGCUGGGUGUGGUGACAAGAGAAGUCCAGCAUCUGUGACCUGGGUGACCCAGGUGCCCAGCCUGUCCCUGCUCCCAGCCUGGAAUUUGCUCAUUCUCUGAACAGAGAUUACCCUCUGAGGAGCUCCUGAUCCCCAGGUACUGGGAGACCCCUCCCCAUUAAGGAUGUGGCUCUCAGACCCACCAUUUUCUCACUUUCUCCACUUUAACCCCAUGACCGCUCAUAUUUUCCCUUUGUGGAUCUUCGUUUGCAAUGAUAUUGGAUAAAUAUCAACUCUUUGGACCCUAUAGCUCAUAAAUUCAACCCGCAUUAAAACCACCGAGCUCUUCACAACUGAACUUUCUCAGGGCUAAUGUGGGUUGGGGAACAGACAUGAGGGUUUCUUAGGCCAUGGAUGGAGGAAGAACCUUUAAAAAGAGAUGAGAGGUCAUUUAUAGUAAUUUCUUUUCCAUAUUGUGUUGAGAAAAAUUACAAAACUAGACAAAAAUUGUUCAUCAGAGUAGAAAAAUAAUAUAUAUAUAUUUUUUUCAAGGACAAAUUCAAGGGUAAAAGAGAACGCACAGAAGAAGUCUACAAUAAAACAUGUUUUUUCCCUAACACAAUUAUAUUCUCUUGGCCAAGACAUGGAUAAAAAGCGAAGAAAUGUGAAAUGUGGACCUGGGAACAAAACAGGAACCCCUAAUAAGAAAUAAGUAUAUACAUGUGUAUGGGUCAGCCAAGUAGAACUAUUAUCAGGAGUGAACUAACAGGGUGUUUUGGGGGAACUUUAAUCCUGGAUCU